AAAUUUGAGUUUUUGAGCCAAAAAUAUUCCUAUCUUCCAUAUACACCCCAUACCUUCCAUAGCUACUGAAAUUCCUCAUUUCCAUACACCAAAACCACUCCAAAAAUUCUGAUAUAGCCAAAGAUCAAUCGCCUCGAUCAUAAGGAAGAAUGCUUAGUGAUUGAAAGUGAGAAAAACUUGAGAGUUAGCCACUUUCCAUACCACAAACUCCAUAAACUCCAUAAUUUCGAAUUGAGGAUUUGAGAACACACUUCCUACACUUGAGGGUGAUCAAGAGGAAGUUUAGAAAUCAAGAAGUUCAAUCUUUCUUUGGAAGUGGUUAGUUGAGCCACCUACAUAUUUUUUUGUUUGUUCCUUUUCUUGGUUUCGCAACAAGACAGGUUUUGCUUGGCCUAGUUCGCCGGCCGGCCUAUUUGGCCGGUCGGUUAGCUUCUUCUGAACAAGAUGGCCAAUUUCCGCCGGCGGUUCUAAAGAACAUGAACCUUUUAUUUUAUUUAUUUAUUUUAUUUUGAGUGUAUUGUGAGGUUUUUAUUUUGUUGUAAUAUUCUCCUCAUCUCUCUCUAAUUUGGUUUGUAAUUAUUCUUUAAAAUGUUGUAAUAA